UAUAUAUAUAUAUAUAUAUAUAUAUAUAUAGUGAGGCUACUAUGUUAUCGGAAGCAUGAAGCCUUUCGUGCUUCCAGCUCGUUUUCGAUGUUGCGACUUUCGAAUCGUCGAUCGGCUCCGUUAAAUUUGAUCUAGAGUAUUUGAAGUAUCUAGAAAAUAAAUUUUAUGAUUUUACAAUAUCAUUUGCCUAGUGAACGAAGGGGUUUAAAAUCAACGGCUGAAAAUAAAAAUCUUACAAAAUGUGAUAAUAUAACAUUAAAAUUUUAAAUCAAAGAUAUUGAUCUUGUUUUAUAUAGUAUAAAGAAUUUUCUAUCAAAAUUUCACGUGAUUUGGAUAUUUCUACAUCGUUAAACUUACAAACGGCUCACUAUGAUCGACUAUUGAAAUUUGUUGAUUUUGAGCCCAUUCGAUCACUAGGCAAAUGAUAUCGAAAAAUAAUAAAAUUUAUUUUCUAGGUACUUCAAAUACUCUAGGUCAAGUUUAACGGAGCCGAUCGACGAUUCGAAAGUCGCAACAUCGAAAACGACACGGAAGGCUCCGUGCUUCCGAUAGUAUAGUAGCCUCACUCUAUAUAUAU
rnacentral:lncRNA from 1 species